UCACCAGGGAGUCAGGUGACUCCUCUCUGUUACGUCAUUCCGCAGCAGUAGCAGGCGCGGCGGGUGCGCAGAGAGCGAGCGGGAGCAGCGGGCCGGCGUGACAUAGGCAAAGGGAUCAGUUCCUGAGAAUCCUAGCACGCUACUGGUUAAGAGACAAAUCUCCAUCAUCAACUUGUUCUGUCUUCUAGG